rnacentral:rRNA from 1 species
GAUGAACGCUGGCGGCGUGCUUAACACAUGCAAGUCGAACGGUGAACGAGGGAGCUUGCUCCCUCCGGAUCAGUGGCGAACGGGUGAGUAACACGUGAGCAAUCUGCCCUGGACUCUGGGAUAAGCGUUGGAAACGACGUCUAAUACCGGAUACGAGACGCGAAGGCAUCUUCAGCGUCUGGAAAGAACUUCGGUCCAGGAUGAGCUCGCGGCCUAUCGGGUAGUUGGUGAGGUAACGGCUCGCCAAGCCUACGACGGGUAGCCGGCCUGAGAGGGUGGCUGGCCACACUGGGACUGAGACACGGCCCAGACUCCUACGGGAGGCAGCAGUGGGGAAUAUUGCACAAUGGGCGCAAGCCUGAUGCAGCAACGCCGCGUGAGGGACGACGGCCUUCGGGUUGUAAACCUCUUUUAGCAGGGAAGAAGCGAAAGUGACGGUACCUGCAGAAAAAGCACCGGCUAACUACGUGCCAGCAGCCGCAGUAACAC